ACAUAUAUGUAUAUAUAUAUAUAUAUAUAUAUAUAUAUAUAUAUAUAUAUAUAUAUAUAUAUUGUUUUAAAGCGUGCACAAUCGGGUCUUAGAACUCCGAUCAAAUAUAUUAAAAAGAUAUGAAAAUAUCACAAAAUAUGUCAAAGAAUGAUAAAAUAUUCAAAACAAUAAGUUCUUCUCAGACCUUCUUAUGAUAAAAAAGAGAACAACAUAAAGAGAUAAUCGUUAUUAUUUUGCGUGUUUUCUUUUUGUUCUCUCCUUUUUUUUUUUUUUUUACAUAUUUUACUAUAAAAGUCAUUCGAUUCCAAUUAUUUAUUUAUUGAAGAAAGCUGAUUGUUUCAUAUGUUUCGGAUAUUUUCGUUAUUUUUUAAUUCGUAUUUUAAACAAAUUAAAUUUUUACGUAAUCGUAAGUAAAAGGAAUCGAAUUUUUAUCUGUCUACUUUUAUAGCAAAAAAAGCACAUUUUAACUGGAAAACGACACAUAAACGAUAUGUUGCUUAUCUUUUUAUAUUAUCAUAAAAAGGGUUAAGGAAACUUUUAUUGUUUUGAAUAUUUUGUUUUUCUUUUACAUCAUAAAGAUUAUCAUAAGAGAAGGUUGGAGAAGUUAUCGAUAGAUAUUUAGAUGCAAGAGAAGGAUAACAAAAAUUUUACAUGAGAUAAUGAUUAUUGUUUGUUUUCAAUAUAGUCGUAUAACGAUGAGACGUCCUUUAUUUAUAGAACAAUUACGAACAUACAAUGCAUUUGAAAUAAUGCGUUGUGCAAUAUAUGUUUAAUGACGACCUUCAAGGAAGAAUGUUUCACUUAAAUAUUUAUGUAUGUUAUUUCAUAAUUUAAAUAACAUUUUUUUAUUGAUAUUUUCAAAAUAUUUGGGAUAAGAGUAAUAAGUAGAUGUAUGAUCUCUCCAUCUUAUUUUAUUGAUAUCUCCGAAUUAAAUGACUUCUUUUCAUUCCACAUAUCGUAAGUUAUAUAUUUGCAAAAAUAUUUUUAAUUAUUUGCUUAAAUCAAUGAUGCGCAUUGUGAAUUAUGAAAAAUAAUUUAAAUAGAAAAUUGUGAUGAAAUAAGAUCGAGAGAUUGUAUAUCUACUUAUUACUCUUAUCCCAAAUAUUUAGAAAAUAGAAGAUUUUAUUUCGAUCGUUCACAAUUUCUUGCUACAUUCAUUUCGUACAAUUUAUAGUAGUGACACGAUUAACAAAAAUUAAUCUCCUACAUAUCAAGCACAUUUUGCUGUACUUUAUGCGAUUUGUCAACAAUUUGUGUUAAUUCACUUAUGCAUGCACGAUCUUUUAAAGAUCGAAACUCUUAGAGUCGAAAUUUUUUAUUGAUUAUUAAUAUCAUACCGGACAAUGAGAAAAAGAAACGAAACUGCGUCUGUCGUAAGUAUAUAAUUAAUAAUCUUUGUUGAAAAAAAAGAAACUAGAAAGAAAAGAAAAAAGAACAAAAUAUGACAAGAGGCCUCUGAAAUAGUAUUAACAUUUGCUUUAUUUUGUAAUCAUCAAAGGUCAAGUCAUCGAUUAUAUUUCACACCAGCAUAAGACUGAAGUAAGACUGAUUUAAGAAAAAUAAAAAAAAUAAAAAAAAUAAAAAAAAUAAAAAAAAAUAAAUAAAUAAAAAAAUAAAAGAAAAUAAUAAAAAAAAAAAGUAAAAAUGAAAAAGAAAAGUCCGGUAUUCUUCUGUUGAUAUGUUGUGUAACAUACGUUGUGUGAAAUUAGGAAUAACAUAGAACGAAAAAAAAGAUAAAAGGCAAGAUGAAAUUAGAAAAAAAGAGAAAAAAGAGGGUGGAAAAAAAGAUUAUCACAUUAUCUCGUUUGCUUUUAUAUAUUAUUUCGAUAUUUCUUUUUUUUUAAUUAGCAUUAUGUAUAUGAGUAAUUAUAUUAUUUGUGUAAUUGUUUUGUGUUUAAUCCAUUUGCGUUAUAUUCUUAAAUACACAACGGACUACAUAAAUUAAGGACGCUCAACUAAGUUGACCCGUAUCAUUAUGCAUAGACAAGUUUCUUAUUGCUUUCUGUAAAAAAAAAA